rnacentral:lncRNA from 1 species
UUAAUGUUAAGACUAAUUGCCUAAGGGCCUUGGCGCUGAUAUAGGAUAUAAUCUAGCCGUAAACUCGAAUACAGCAGUACUCAGGCGUAAACUCGUAAAUAUUAUGUAAAAAUUGCAGCAGCACAUAAAACAGUGUUGCUAAACCAAUAUAACAAAGAAGCAGCCAUGUUAACUUCUAGAAGGGAACCACCGAAGCAACUCAAAUACUCAAUACCCAGCGAGAGUUUGCAACUGUCUAAGAACCUACAUAUUGUAUGUAUGUAUAUGUUACAAUGUUGGUAGAGAGGAUAAUUCAUUUGUGUGAUUCUUCAUACUGCCUUAACUAACCUGUAAACGAUGUGUGAUUAAUGUGUUCCUGAAUUUCGACAAGGUAUGGUGCCAAGCGUAUUGGAACCAUCUCAGGCUUCGGAGUUUUGUGAGUCGGCUAAAAGGCGAAGAAUAGUAAUUGGUAACCAACCGACACAGGAGUAUAUCAAAUCGAACAUUUUAGUGUUUGAUUCGCUGGCUCUCCUAACGGAAGAACAAUCAACAAGCGUAACUAAGUAGAGUACGAGAACUCCUACAAACCAUCGACGUGGUCGCUCUUAAUACGCACUUAUACCGUAUUGAAAAAUCUAAUUCAGUGAUUUAAGAUAAUUUAUUCUAAAGAAGGUGAAAAUUCUUAUCUGGACAAAAUUUUAUUAACUUAUUUAAAACAAGUGGCAAAUAUAAAAGUUUGUAAAAUUAAUAUUACAAUUGUUAACUAAAUAAACGUAAGAAACAGUUAUUAAUCCAGAAAAGUUAUUAAGCAUAUAUAAGUAUCUCCUUACAUUGCCUUAUAUCUUAAAUACAUUUACAUAGGUUCCAACUUACCAAUCAAAUAUGUGAUUAUUCGGAUUUUCAAAUUACUGCAGCUUUCACAAACUAUAUUAAAUAUUAAGUGCGAUGAAGUUUGAGUGAAAACUGCUCCAAAUAUUGACCGAAUUUGAGAAGUAAUGGAACUUUUAAAAUAAAUAAGAAAUUAUUGACGUUUCGAGUCUAUAAAGGUGCCGAAAUAAAAAUAGCCAUUUCUGGUGCCAAGUCAGGGCUAUACGGUGGGUGAUUCAUCAAAGCGAUGUAGUGAGU